rnacentral:sRNA from 1 species
AGAGUAGGCCUUUCAGGCAUCCUCUCCUAAAAACUUUCAGGGCUGAUCGUCAGAUCGGCCCUUUUUUUUGUGGUCG